GGUAGACACAGCAAACGUGGAACAAGUGUGCCUCCCUCUUUAUUACUUGGUGCUCUACUAUGAGACCUGCUGACCGUGGUCAUGAAGACACCAUGAGUAUCCGCUACCCCCAUCCUCCUUCCGAGCAGUGAGCUGUAUCAGGGCCCAGUUAUCUUCUCUUGGUGGUGGAGCCUCAUGCGAGGUGACAGCUCCUCACACUUCACUGUCUGGAUCACCCCAAGUAGCAGCAGAUAUCAGUGACAUACAGCUGCAGCCAGCCGGGCCAGUCACCUUCCGUGACAGUAGGAGCCCCGUGAUGGAUUACCCUGCCAAAACUGCUGAUCAAGGCGGGUCAAAGGUCGAAUCUGAGGCUGCA
ensembl:lncRNA